UCGGGUUUCUAAAAGCUAUUUCAACCCCCCUCCCAGUUACUGCCACCCUCUCCCAGGUCUAGAGAGGGGUACCCACGGUGGAGGGAGGUGGGAGGCCGAGACGGCCCCGGGGGUCGGCGGAGACCCAGCGGGAGCAGGGGGAAAUCGGAAGAGCUGGGGGCAUGGAGCGGGCGAGUUUGGAGCGGAAUGAGCCGGGAGCCCUACGUUGUGGAAGGAAGACAACAGUAUAGGACCAUCAGCAGGACCGGACAGAGAGGGGCACGUAAGCAGUAAUUACUGGAUGGCAUAGUAAUUCUACUAAAAAUUAAAAUGCCACUUAUUGGAAUGGUGUGUGAACACUCUAAAGCAACCCGGGAAGAAGACAGCAGUCAAGAAGACCAAGGAAGGAAAUGGAGGAGGGAUGACCCCACCAUUACAGGCAGGGAAGGACUGACCAAAGAGACAGAAAUGUAGUCUAGGAAAUGUGUCAUCUUAGAAAGGAACGGGAAGGGGCUGGAGAGGUGGCUCAGAAGUAAAGAGCAGUGGAUGCUCUUUCAGGGGACCUGAGUUGGCCUCCUAAUGUCUUCAGGUACCUCCUAACUGCAUGUAACUCCAGCUCCGGGAGAUUCUGGAUUCUUCUGGUCUCCACGGCACUGCGUUCACGCGCACGCGCGCGCGCACACACACACACACACACACACACACACAAAUUAAUCUUAGAAAAGCAUAGGAAGCCUGAUUUUUUGUUUGUUUGUUUGUUUUGGGGUUUUUUUUUUGUUUGUUUUGUUUUGUUUUUGAGACAGGGUUUCUCUGUAUAGCCCUGGCUGUCCUGGAACUUGUAGACCAGGCUGGCCUUGAACUCAGAAAUCCGCCUGCCUCUGACUCCCGAGUGCUGAGAUUAAAGGUGUGCACCACCACACCCGACAAGGAAGCCUGUUUUAAGAAGUGAUUCCAUGGAGGAGUUCUGCGGCGGCUCAGGGCUUGACUAAACAGUGGACCUCAGGGUCCCAUUUCUCUCAGUAGACAAGAGAGGCUAAACCAGGCUGCAGGUGACAGGAAGAAUUGAAUAAACUGAAAGCAAAGGGCAGCCUUCUAAUUACGCUUCGUGGCUAUGUGGACAACCUGGAGAAGUCUGGAAACCUUUCCUCCUCCAUUUUACUACUUGAGGGAGCAGUGGGUGGGAUACUAGGCAAGUAGCUGCAAUGGCUGGUGCUUUAUGGUUCCCUGGCAUCCCCUGAAUCUGUUAACAUCCCAACCUUCUUGACAGCCAGCCCCACCCCAUCACAUUCUUACUCCUUCCCUUUCCAAGAAAGAAGCCAGAAGCCCGAAGCCAGCAGUAGAGCUCUGACUGGCUUGUAUGCCUAGAAAGGAAGGGCUCUUCUUUCGCCUCACGGGCACAAAUGGGACCCACGAGCGCCGAUUUCAGACUAUUCUGAUCCCUUCAAAAAGAAAGUUAGGAGUCCAGGCUACUUCACUUUGGUGAUAGUAAUCAAACCCUAAUCACGGUGCAGCCACAAGUCACAGAGACCGAAAUAGCAGACUUAUGACAGACAAGGAUGGAGACAGCUAAGGAACUGGCUAUUAAUCACCAGUCCCUCUGCUCACAGCCCAUUGGACCCGAGGGUGAAGGAUGAGGAGGAUGGAAGAAAAUGGGAGUGGCGCUUGCUGCAAAGGGUCUCGAAGGGUCUCAGCACCUGCGAACUGGCUCCAAUCCAAACUCCACUAUUCAUGGUCAAGUUCACAUAGGGCUUGGGGUUCUAACAAGAUGUGACUAAACUUACGUUUUCUAUCUUAUUGAUUGUUGUUGAUGCACGUCUGGUGGUACAUGCUUGAAGAACACAGACACCCUGAGAAGAAAGACAUAGCUCCCCAGAUUCCAGCACGCACUUCUCUGUGAGCUACCACUGUAGCUGAAGAUACAGGGCUCAGGAGGAACACUUGGCCUUCGCUCUGAACUUCAGGCCCACGUAACCAUCAGCCGACAUGACACUGCAAAGGCACCUUAGCUCUGCUGUCCCAGAUGGCCAAGCCAACCUUAUUCCAGAAGCUACUUCUCCUGAUGUAAGAACCAGACACAAAGGACAACCUCUGCCUCACCCUCCUUCACACAACACUGAGUCUGUCAUCUUUGAAGCAUUUCUCAAGCCAUGUUUAUUCCCCUGGCCUACGUGGAACACAGCCAGGGUACGGAACACAACCUCAGCACCGGUCUGCUUUCCUCUCCCCAUUUCUGGUCUUUCUCAGAUGCCCAGAGCUCCUCUGUCCCAAUGACUGCUUAUCAAAGAUCUCACUGUGUCCCCACCCAAGGGGUCUUUGGCCACCCUGUGAAGUCCUAGUGGCCUGGAGUUUGCCCCCUUUCCCAGACACCUUAGGGUUCCUGCUGCAGCUCCAGAACUGGGGGAGCAGGGUUGGGGGUGAGUGUGUGUGUGUGUGUGUGUGUGUGUGUGUGUGUGUGUGUUGACUCACCCUGCAGUAUUCUCUCCAUCUGCACAGGUCCCCAGUCUCUGAGACUGAAUCACCCCUCUUUCACUAUGCCUCUGCACAGCUGCCCUUGUGCUCCCUCUCCUUGCCCCGCCUCUUUUUAAGACAGUAUUAUGCAGCCCUGGCUGUCCUGGAACUUAUGUAAACCAGCCUGGCCUUGAACUUGCAGAGAUCCACCUGCCUUUGCCUCUGCCCCUGCCCCUGCCCCUGCCGCCCCUGCCCCUGCCUUUCUGCCUCUGCCUCUGCCUCUCUGCCUUUCUGCCUCUGCCUCUCUGCCUCUGCCUCUCUGCCUCUGCCUCUCAAGUGUCAGGGAUUAAUGCCUGCCACCUCCCCAGUCCCACCCCUCUCCAUCUACCAUGUGGGUUCCACGGGGCAAACCCAAGUCAUCAGGCUUGUUGGCCAGUGCCUUUAUCCACUGAGCCAAGCCGCUUGGUGUGUCUUUGAUGGUGAUUAUUUACAGGAGCUAUUCAGCAAGGUUAAAUGCUGGCAACCCAAUGAGGGGGUCUCUUGAUCCAAAACUGAGAAGUUGAGGCACUAUUUCAGAAUGACCAAAGACAGUAGAAGAAUCUAGAUAUGUCGAUGAUGAGAACAAUGAUAACUCCAAAAGCUGAGGGAAAUUAACUCAAAAUCUUCCAGCUUCCUUUUCCUUACCUAGUUUGGCGGACUCCAACUCUUGGGAUAGCUUUUUUUCUGGCCCCAAACUCACCUGAUUCGUCUGUCCACUGCCACACUGAAGAAUGAACAGCUGUCUCAGAGAGCUUGGCUCCAGAGCUCUGCAAAAAGAGGACACCUUGCCUUGAGCUGUGUUUCCAGAAUGUAUUGCAGCCCCCAGAGUCAUGUACUGUGACCAGGUGAGGACAUGCAUCUUCUGUUCUCCUGCACCCAGGGCCCCAGCAACCAAGGAUCUGGGGACAUGGCGGGUGUUUGGCAGGUUCGCACUCUGAAAAUAUUUGAUGAGACUCAGUAUAUGCUAAAUAAACACUGGAUCAAGUUCUUGGUCUCUCCUUUGGGGAAUUUACAGUCUAUCCUACAGAGAAGAUUGAAA
rnacentral:lncRNA from 1 species